UACGUAGGGUGCAAGCGUUAAUCGGAAUUACUGGGCGUAAAGCGCGCGUAGGCGGCUUUGCAAGUCGGGUGUGAAAUCCCCAGGCUUAACCUGGGAACUGCAUUCGAGACUGCAUUGCUAGAGUAUGGGAGAGGGAAGUGGAAUUUCCGGUGUAGCGGUGAAAUGCGUAGAUAUCGGAAGGAACAUCAGUGGCGAAAGCGACUUCCUGGACCAAUACUGACGCUCAUGUGCGAAAGCGUGGGGAGCGAACAGG
rnacentral:rRNA from 1 species